AGAUCUAGUGACGGGACAAGACCAACUGUCCACCACUGCGCCUCUAACGGUUUGCUCUUUCGCGACUUCGUGACAGGAGAGCUCUCCGGAAGUCUUCAGAGUCGGAGAGUGGAGAGGAUGCCAGGACGAACACAUGUCAACUUCCAGGAACUCUUGUACUCACGACUGCACGACCCGGGACUGAUCCCCGCCGCUGAAGAAGAAGCCGGUCAUCGUGCGCACCACAGCCACCAGCGCUGUCACGAUGCCUAUCCGGGCCUGACCUCGGCCUCCCUGCAGGACAGACCAGUUCACAAUAAGAAUGUAUGAGCAAGAAAAGACCCGAUACUCGCCGCCAUCAGAACGAUAGUGUUAUAAACUUCGGCAUUCAUCUCGUCCAGCCCACCUCCCACUAGCACCAGACUUUUCCCGCGGACUCCUCCAACCACUAAAGUGGACACAACGAGCAGGAGGGAGGCUGCUGCAGUACACAGCGACCUCCGACACGCGCUGGCGCUGACCAGGUGAGCCAUUGUCCUGAGUCUUGAAGUCUGCACCGGACCCUGGCGUUACCAACUGAUCGGCUCUGAACGCUCUGAUGACUUAUAUAACCGAUGGUUUUUUUUCUGGGCAAUAAAUGAAAGUAAGCCUAAUACGUGGUCUGGCACAAAAGUAGUAGAGGAUGACUGUCGGUGCGCAUGACGGAGAUGAGGUCAGAGUGACAAGAGUUGUCCAAUCAGUGAGAGUUACCUUAGUUUUUUUUUUCUAAAAUUUCGGGUUAGGUUAUAGUGUUCAGAGUAGCAAUAAGGGUAGGGGAAGGUUAUGUUUAGGUUUUUAGGGGGGAGGUUUACGGUUAGAGAUAGGGUACUGACUGGCGGAGAAGCAGACGAAGUGACUUCCGGUACAAUCAGAAAGCGUUGCGUUACUGAUGUAAACUUACAGUCGAGUUUUCGGUAUUUUUACCUGUGAUGUUAGUCUCAGAUUGACUUUUACAAGUAGCGUAGCAGUUACAAUGAAGAAGAAACGUGUUAUUUAAGUUUCUGUUUACCUACUGCUUUUUUAAAGGUAAGGUCACUAUACAUUAAUAUUGAAAAACGAUCAUGAUCAUGAUUGUAUAUGCGAAAUUCUGACAAGAAUAGGUGACUUAUGAAGUUAUGAGCUUUAAAAUGUUUUGAAUGUGGAUGUUGAUGAGUAGUUGUUGGAUUGUGAUAAGAUACGGUAGAGGUAUUUAAUAUACAGUGACUGACUGUUGCUGUCCGUGCACAGAACGAGAAAAGAACGAGGACGUCACGAGACACACAACGAUGUGUUUACACAGAUUGUCGCUGACACAGGAAAAUCAAGGGACUUCCACAGAACAGUGAUUUUACGAGUACACAAAGCGAUGGGGACUGACGAUGUUGUUUUCGUGGUCCAGAUUAUUUAAUUCUUUAGAUCUUGUGGCGUUUAUCAGUGAGGGCAGGGAGGGGUGUGCCGAGGAAGAAGUCUAAGCUAUCAAAAAGUGAUAAAGUUUCAAGGAAUAGUACUUAGAAUUAUGUAGGUCACUUCUUCUUUUUUUUUUUUUUUUUUUUGAUUGAGUUUCUUGUCUUCUUGAGCGCAGUCUUAUUCACGGGAGGUAACUCUUUAGUACUUGCUUUUAUAUAUUUAUAAGAGUUGUUGCCCUUGUAAGGAUCGUGUCCGCUGGCGGCCAGUGUAGAGUGUGGUGUCCAGAGGGCCCGUUGCAACUCCCUACUGCAGCUAUUAAUUAGCAACGCAUAAUGCUGUUUCUUAUAUUUCUUCUUCAAUAAGAAAAAAUAAAUCAUUUUAUCCCAUAAGUUCAGUUUUAAAGCGAUCACACCCAGCGCCCACAAAGAUCUAGCAAUCUUCCAUCAUUCACUUUUUGUAACAAUCGGUUUCAUUAUUAUCGACACUACGGCUUCUACUUUUGAAAUUAACAAGCCUAUGUUACACAUUAUCUGCCAUUACUUGUCAUUCCACCAGGCUUCAAACUUUUCGAUCUCCUGCCAUUAUCUAAGCUAUUAAAGGUAGACUGCCAGCAGAGUUUACCUCUAGCACCAGGAUGGUCAGGCCAUUGGAGGUUUUUCAGUCUCCCUUGGACCGAUCUAUCAAGUCCAACAUGUUACCCAUGUCUAUAAAGCAGUUUUAUCGUCUUUGAUCUUUUGCAAAGGUAGGUGUGGAAGAACGUGAAAAUAAUCACUAAAUCAUCUAUCAGGUGUCCCGAUUACCUGAGCCUGACCUUGCAGUGCUUGCUGUUAUCGGUAGAUGAGUAGGUCACACUCCCUCAAAGCACAUGCUGUGUACGUGUACAGCACCGUACAGCUGCCACUGCUAUAAAUGAAAGUACCUCGGGCUCUCAUUUUACUCGCAACCAAUCCCUAUGGAGGUCAACUGUCAUUCUCUCAAUUAAGUUUGCAUUAGCAAUUUGUCAAUAUCAUCAUGGAACACAGAAGAAAAAUAUACUGGAUCUGUAAAUACAUUUUUUUAAAAGUUAGGGAAGACAAACACGCAAAGAGAAAUAAAAGUGUGAAUAAGGAUUUUACAACCCCUUACUUGAGCAUGACAAAUUAAUUCACCCCCACCCCAUCUCACAUUUUUACUCCCCUGAGUUCCCCCCACCCCAGCCCUCACGCGCAAGAGGGCAUAACACAUUGUCCUCAGGUGUUUUUCUUUUCCUUUUUUUGAGGAUGAGCUUGCGUGACAUAGCCGUGGGCAGAAGGGAGGAGAACUGUCGAUAUGACACGAGCUUCAGGAAAAAAUAACGGGGAAAUAAUUUGUGACCAUAACUUCGUAAAGCUCGUGUCCGAGCUCACAAACACAAACACACGCACACGCUCACAACACUACAUACUAUUUGGUGCUGUUUUAAUGUUUCCGUCCGAAAUGAGGCUUUCACGAAACUUAUUUUUCUCCUCCGCGAAUGUUUUGCACGGAACAGGACUUACAGGUUUCAUCGAGAUUGUACCGGAGUGGUGAGGGAGGUUGGGGUAAGGAAGGAGGACAUGAACACGUCGUCCAGGUCCCAUGUUAACCGUCAUCACUUCGUGAUAAUGUGAGCAAGAAGGGCCGGGAAGUUGGCAGUUGGGAGUGUGGUGGUGGGGGGAGCGGUCGAUGGGUCCUGGUAGAUGUACUCCACCACCACUUUCCUUGCUGACGCACAUCGGACGGCGACUGUCACCCGCAGUGAACGAGCAAACGCAAACAGGUUCCCUCGCGCAGUUUUUGGUCAACCGUCAGGUACAGGCCAUCUGCUGUGUGAGUGAACAGCUCUCACCAACAGCUGCUGUCUCUGGUCUCCGAAAGACGAGUGAGAGGCUCCACAUCAAGCUGGCGGUCGUUACUUCAAAGACCUGUCACGUGCCUUUUUGCUGUUACCAAGGAAACUGGAGAUUUGGGACUGGGGAGAGGAUAUGUGUGUGGGUUUGAAAGAGGGUUAGGAGAGGUGGGUCAUUGUCCGCAUUGAGGCCUCAGGUGGUGGGUACAUGUGCUGGAGCUCUUGCCUGUUGAUCAUAGUCUGCACCAGGGCGGUCUGGUGGCGCGACGGUUAGCACCUGUCACCGAUACAGUUGAGGGUUGACUGUCCUGGGUUCAGCUUUCGUCUCGGGCACGCUGUUCUUUUUUUAUGUGUCAUCUGUUUACGGGGGCCGGCCGCCUUGCCGUGAUAUAUAUAGCCUUAGUUGCUGGCUCGGAGCAAAACAAAAAUUCCUCCUCCCUCUUUGCCCGUAUUGAUGAAGCUUAGCGGGGGCGUGUACUGCGGAUGAUGGAUCCCUCCGUUUGACGUUUCCCACGUCCUCGAUGUGUUUAUUCUAGAGUUUAUGUCUUUAGGGUUUUACAGUUAUAUGUAUACUAUCUUCAGCAUUCAGUUUUCUAUCAGUCUGUGUCAUGUUUUAACUAAUGCUGAAUUACUUAUGAUUUAAUUUUUACUUUGUUCCAGUUUGUUCGACAUUUUAUGUGUUUUUUAAGUUACAUAUCCGAGCUAUUGUGUUUAAACGUACGAUUAUAUCUUUAUCAGAACUUUAGAGCUGUGUGAAAAUCAUUGCAGUCUCUUGUAAAUGCACAAACACUUGACUUCAGUAGUCGGCGGCUGGGAAAUGUCAGCAUUUUUUCCUUCUCUAGCGAAACGCUAUCAUAUUUCAGACAGCGAACGACUAAGGACUUUAUGGAGACACAAGAGCUUAUGCAACCAACUCCAAACGGUUUAUAUAAUCGUACUAUCGUGCCACAUUUUAUUUUUCUGAACUAAAACACUUUUUUUUACGUUUUGAAAAUACUUGGUUGCCAAGAUUUACACAACAUUCCGAACAAUUGUGUUAAAGUUUACACGGUUUACACAGCGCUGAAAGGAAAGAUUGGAAGGGUAGACAGCAAGGUACGAAGACUGUUGGAGUUCAACAUGCAAGUAGUGAGAAUGACAAACAUCAGUUAAGAUAAAUACCCUUGAAGCAUUCCUCCUUAGAAGACACGCACAGCCACCCACACAACCUGCCCACACACCCACAUCCUUACAAGAACAAUUAUAUAUAAAUAUAAGCAAGGAAGUUGAUCAAUGUCUAUCUACUCUAGGUAAGUACACUGUGCAUCUUCUUAAAAUGUGGCACUAAAAAUAGUUAAUGUACUGUUGAAAUCAAGAGAAAGCAAGUCAUUAAAGAAACAAUUUAUUAGAUUAAUUUCUUCCAAGUCAUUCAUAUCACCUUCAAAAAUCAUGGAUGAAGUAAACUGCAUGAGUGAUGAGCAGAUGUGAAUUACAGGAGUGAAGUAUGCUGACACAAGAAGACACUAGUUACAGUGCUGCGUGACACAACGACACAGACUACAGGGUGAAAUGUUCCAGGUGACACAUCAUAUGCACAGCAGGACUAGCAGUGUGCUAAGUAUAUAUAUAAAAGAUGGAGCUUUCACAUCCUUAUACCAUUAAUAGACUCUGAUCCACUUUCCAGGAGCGUCCUCCUUAUAAAUACUUACAGGGCCUUACUUUACACGCGCUUUUGUUUUAUAUUCCGAAACAAGUUGUUCAUAGAUGGAAAUGCAGACCUACCUAAGAAAUAAUUUUGCGAAAAGCAAAAAUCACUUCAAAGUAGAAGAACGCCGAGGGAAAACGUGAAUGGGAUGAUAAUCAUCUGUACAGAAAAUAAUGUAUUUCACAUCGUUACAUCGGCAGUUAAGGAGCCAGUCAAAACGCUCAGAGCAAUGGUGUGCCGUUGCUGCUGACAACGAUGAUACCGGAGGCUGCGCAAGUAAAAACCAGUAUGAAUCAGAACGCACUACACACUUUUGUAGCGAAACUGGAUAUAAAUAGUCUAACAUCAGAUACUACAUGAGCAGUGUAACAAGAUCGUGGCUGCAGAAGGCUUGAAUACUUAACCGAAAAACAGUCUUUAAGAUUUGUAAGGCACAUACUGAAUGAAGCAUUUCGUUACUAAAGCAAAAGGGGAAAAAAAUCGAGGGUGCUUCAAAAAUAAAAACAUUUUUAGAGGCCGGUAUUGUUAUAGGCAAGAUUAGGCAGGACAGUACGCCCCCCACUGAAAUAAUGACCAGUCUGAUGAUCAUGCACAUCGAUCACAGUUUCCUCAAGUUAAUCUGAAAACAAUGCCACAGUAACCUGAUUAAAAUGAAGCUUGGUACGCCUUUCCUUCUUCUUCUCUCUCUCACUCACAUAUAUCAGCAUAUCAACGCACAAAAUAUGGCAAAACAAUUAAAAAUGUUGGUGCACCCCGACAAUUUUAAGCCACUGGCUUUACAACGUGCACAGUAUAUAAUUAGAUGUCCUCUGAAUUUUACGCUUGUCAACGUGAUUCCCUUGACUAGACUGACAAGGGCCGAGUGAUAUCAAGGAGAAAAACCAACUGUAACACAAAUUGUAAGCCGAGACCUAAAACUCUCUCACACUCACACAUACAAGGUUAUCCAAAACAAGGGGUGGGUGGGAUGGGAAAGUGUGUGUUUGGGGCGGAGGGGCGAAGUAAGAACAAUUUAAUGCAACUUUCAACAGAGUACAAAGUACAGUGGCAACAUUAUUUACAGGUUCCUUCAAAAUAAGUCUGCGCUUGAGUCGACCAUUAUCAUUACCAUCAUUUCAAACGUAACUGUCAAUAUAAUUAUCUUCCAUUAUUGACAGUCUUCGUAAACAUUUUCUCGCAGGGAAGGGUUAAAAAGA